AUUACAAACGCAGUAACCAUCAGAACACUUAACAACUGAUGCUCCACAAGGAAGAGCACGAAUGUUCUUAAGACAGUCUUGCUUUGUUUGACAUGCAACCACAACUAUAUCACUUCCCUCUGUGUUUUCUUCCAUCGAAAAUGAAUGCCCUACAAAACAUACAAUUUCGUGUUUAUAAAACAUUUUUUAUCAAUAAUAAAUAAAUAAAAUAAAUGAGACACUUCACGGAUGUUCCAACUCUUAUAUAAAAAAACACAUAUCAAACUUCUUAACACCCAAGUAAGUGAAGAUUCAUCAUACUCUACAAAACAUCAACAAAAGUGAUAUAUACAUGACAAGACUGAUAUAAGGCAUGAUCAGAUCAUAUCAGAAUACAAUUACGUCAUCCCUCCAAAGAAGACACGUUCUCACAAUAAGACAGAACAAAUACCACCAUAUACCAUUCUCCAACAACUGAAUAUAAUUUUUUGCGAGGGAGAAAAAUAAAUCAAACACCCAAAAGCCAUAAAUAUAAAAAAAAUCUGCAACAAUGCAACAAAAAUUAAGUUUCAUUGAUGAAGGGAUAAAUCAAUAUACCAACACAAACUUCCAUGGCAAGAAUUACAAACACAACUGCCAAUACUAAACUCUUCUUCGACAUAGCUUCUCCAACCUACAAUCUCAAUAUAUGAUGAUAAAAUUCAAAAUUGAGAACUUUGUAUGAAUGAUAAUUGUGUGCUUCUUAGACUCAAACUUUGUUCUAUUUAUACAAGAGGAAAAGAUGAUUUUAAUAUUAUAAAAUCUUAAUUUACUUUUUUUUAAAAAUAUUAUUACACUACACAUUUUUAAGACUUUUAAACUUUUAGUUUUAUAUAUAAUAUAUAUAAUACAAAUACAGUAAAAAUUCAAUAAUGUUUUAUUAAUAAUACACAUUAACGUAGAUAUCAAUAAUUUUUUAGUUUACAAAAUAGUAUUUAAAUUAAUUAAUAUAAUAAUUAAUUAUUUUUAUUUUUAAAAUUAAUUUUAAAAGUUGUUUUAAAAUAAAUUCUUUUUUAGUUUUUAUGACCAUAAUCUUAAUUAAAAUUCAUAAUAUUUAUUGUUAUAUUAAGUUAACGUACUCUAACAAGGAAAUUUUAUAAAACUCAAAUCUUCAAUUUAUAAUUUUAUAUACAAUAUAUAGAAUACAAAUGUCAUAAACACUCCAAUUUUUUCCCUACAUUUAAUUAGAACUACUGUAUUAUUUAAUAUAGUUUAAUAUUAUGUUAUUAAAUAUUAAAUUUGUAAUCAAUGCCCUUUUUCCACUCUCCUAAAUUUCUUUUUCUUGUUAUUUCUUCAUGUUUUAUCUACCUCAUAAUCACAUCCUAUAUUAAUUAGAGAUUAUUUCUCUCAAAUCAUAUUUUCAAAAAAGUAAGUUCAUGUUUACUUUAAAUAAUUAUUUAGAAAUUGUGUUAUUGAAAUUUUUUAAAAUAUUUAAUAACACAUUUGAUUAUGCUAGAGAUUUUAUGAUAUAAUAAUUUUUUACUUUAUAAUUAAAAAAUAGUGAAUUUUUAGAAAAUAACUUUUUAUUAUAUAUAAUUAAAAAAAUGAAUACAUUAAAAUUAUUUUAAAUUUUUAAUAAAAUUAAUGAUGUAAUACUUUAAUAAUAUAAGUUAAUAUUUUAAAAUAGUCAACUUAUAUUAUUUUAAAUUAUUAAAGUAUUAUAUAUAAUAACUUAAAAUAAUUAACUUAAAAUAGUUAAGUGAACAUAAUUAACUUAUAUAAAGGAGAAAUUAGAUAUUCAAAUUUAAAUUACAUUAAAAGGAAUAAACAAUGAUAAAGAAGUUUAUUUUUUACACUUAAAUAUAUUAUAUUAAUAUUGUUGGGUAUGAAGUCAAAACCAAUUGGGUUGGGCUGAAACAGUUGAAGCGUAGGUGAACAUUAUUCCGUGACUUCAAGUGGAGAUUGUUGGGUAUGAAGUCAUGACCAAUUGGGUUGGGUUGAGCAGACACCAUGUUUUAGUGAGUGGGUUUAAUCAUUAUGUCCCUUUAUUAUCUCUAUUUAUCUAUAUUUAAAGAGAUAAUUGUACUUGUAAUUGGUACGCAACAGGAAAGAAAUGGAUGUAGGUUGCAGUUGGCGAUCGAACCACGUUAAAUCUUGUGUCGUUUAUUUUUCUGCGGUUGAUUGGUGGUUGUGUAUUGCUUUUCGCGUGCGUUUUUUCCCAUCAAAUAUAAAAAUUAAACAAAAAUAUAAAAAUUUUGGCGUCAUUUCGAGUGUGUUCAAAUUGUAAUUAUUCGGAUUUCAAAAGUUUUAUGGUAAAUGCCAAUGGUAUUGUAAAUUAAUAUCAAGUUAUUUCUAACUAAUUCUACUUAUUUGGUAUAUAACAUUUCAUCCCAUUAACUUAAUUUCACUCUUAUUGAUGUUCAAAACAUCAUUAUCAAUCCAAGAAACAUCAAUUAGUUCUUACAUAAUUAUCCUCUUUUGUAAAAAGCGAUGCAAAUAUUAAAAAUAUGGUGCAAAUGGUAGGAGCGGGGUGAAAAUAUUAAUAGUAUGACUGUUUCUUCCUACACCUCCAUACGUUUUUGUGUCACCCCAUAAAUUUUUGUAUUAAAAAAAUAUCUUUUUUUUUAAUAUUCUGGAUUACAUAAUCCACAAGUAUUUUUUUUAUAUUUGUAAUUAGUUUCUGGAUUAUGUAAUUUGGAAGUCUUUUGAGAUUACUUUCUAGAUUACAUAAUCCAUAAGUCUUUUCUAUACAUGAGAUUAUCUUCUGCAUUACAUAACUUAGAAGUCUUUUGUAGAUUUCAGAUUUUCUAGAUUUGAUAUUGGCUUUUGGAUUACGUAAUCCAAAAAUCUUUUUUCAAAUGUGUGAUUAGUUUUAGUAUGUCUGAUAAGUAUGUCUUCAUUAUCAUGCAUAUUAAUUUUAGUCAAAGUUGUUUCCAAGUCUUUAAUGACUUCCAUAUAAUUAGUAUACAAAAGCUAUAUCCAUUAUUUAUCACAUGAUAUAUUUAUUUUUAUUUACCUAACUCAAAGUACUAUUACAACUUCAAUAUCUUACCAAAUUACUAAUUAAUACUUACAAUUUUCAUUAAAAAAGUUCAAUGCUAAUUUUACUUUAUUUUAUUUGAUAAUCUUUAAUUAAAAAAUUAUAUAUAAUUAUUCCUUUAUUUGAUUACUGAAUAGCAAAAAUGUUCAUAUUAAAAAGGGAAAUAGAGAUACUUAUGUUGUAUUAAUCACUUUUAUAUAUUUCAACAUGAACAAUGUAUUUGUUCAUUGUUUCGGAAUAUUAUUAUUCUAUGACAGAGCUUGAAGCAUAGAACCAUAAAAUACAUUUAUUAAAAAGUUUAAAUAAGUAGAAUCAUUCACUCCUCUUAUAAGCUUAUAGAUUCCCUUCAAGACAAAUUACCUGCAAAAUUAAAUAAUUUGAAAGUUAAUGAAAAUAAAAAAUAAAGGGUUUAAUGAGGAAGAGAUAAGUGAGUAAUUAAUAAAUAAUGAAAAUGAAAAUACCUUUGUUUUGAUCUAAUGAUUACAAACACAGUAACCAUCAGAACACUUAACAACUGAUGCUCCACAAGGAAGAGCACGAAUGUUUUUAAGACAGUCUUGCUUUGUUUGACAUGCAACCACAACUAUAUCACUUCCCUCUGUGUUUUCUUCCAUCGAAAAUGAAUUCCCUACAAAACAUACAAUUUCGUGUUUCUAAAACGUUUUUUUUAUCAAUAAUAAAUAAAUAAAAUAAAUGAGACACUUCACGAAUGUUCCAACUCUUAUACAAAAAAAACUCAUACCAAACUUCUUAGCACCCAACUAAGUGAAGAUUCAUCAUACUCUAUAAAACAUCAACAAAAGUGAUAUAGACAUGACAAGAUUGAUAUAAGGCAUGAUGAGAUCAUAUCAGAAUACAAUUACGUUAUCCCUCCAAAGAAGUCACGUUCUCACAAUAAGACAGAAUAAAUAUCACCCUAUACCAUUCUCCAACAACUGAAUAGAAUUUUUUCGAACGAGAAAAAUAAAUCAAACACCCAAAAGCCAUAAAUAUCAAUCAAAAUCUGUAAUAAUGCAACAAAAGUUAACUUUCAUUG
rnacentral:lncRNA from 1 species